rnacentral:rRNA from 1 species
UACGAAGGGGGCUAGCGUUGCUCGGAAUCACUGGGCGUAAAGGGUGCGUAGGCGGGGCUUUAAGUCAGGGGUGAAAUCCCGAGGCUCAACCUCGGAACUGCCUUUGAUACUGGAGAUCUUGAGUCCGGAAGAGGUAAGUGGAACUGCGAGUGUAGAGGUGAAAUUCGUAGAUAUUCGCAAGAACACCAGUGGCGAAGGCGGCUUACUGGUCCGGAACUGACGCUGAGGUGCGAAAGCGUGGGGAGCAAACAGG